rnacentral:rRNA from 1 species
UGGGAGCGUCGGUGUCGCGAAGAGUUCGAUUAUAAACGCAGAUUGAACGCUGGCGGGAUGCUUUACACAUGCAAGUCGAACGGCGGCACGGACUUCGGUCUGGUGGCGAGUGGCGAACGGGUGAGUAAUGUCUCGAACAUGCUAGUAGCGCGGGGAUAACUACGCAGAAAGCUAUGUAAUACCCAUACGCCCUUCGAAGCGGGGGACCUUCGGGCCUCGCACUAUUAGAGUGGCCGAUAUCGGAUUAGCUAGUUGGUGGGGUAACGGCUCACCAAGGCGGCGAUCCGUAGCUGGUUUGAAGGACGACCAGCUACACUGGGACUGAGACGGCCGAACUCUACGGGAGGCAGCAGUGGGGAAUUUUGGACAAUGGGAAACCUGAUCAGCCAUCCGCGUGUGCGAUGAAGGCCUUCGGGUUGUAAAGCACUUUUGGCAGAAAGGCAGCACGGGGAUAAUACCCGUGCAACUGACGGCCUGCAGAAUAAGCACCGGCUAACUACGUGCCAGCAACCGCGGUAAUACGUAAAGGUGCAGCGUUAAUCGGAAUUACUGGGCGUAAAGCGUGCGCAGGCGGUUCCGGAAAGAAGAUGAUCUUUAAAUCAGAGCUUAACUUUGGAACUGCAUUUUAACUACCGAGCUAGAGUGUGUCAGAGGUGGAAUUCGCGUGCUGGCAGUGAAAUGCCGUGAUAUGCGGAGGAACACCGAUGGCGAAGCAGCUGGAUAACACUGACGCUCAUGCACGAAAGCGUGGGAGCAAACAGGAUUAGACCACCUGGUAGUCCACGCCUCAACGUCAUCAGCUAGCUGUUUGGAACCUUAGAACCUUGGUAGCGCGCAACUAACGUAAGUUGACCGCCUGGAGAGCCACGGUCGCAAGAUUAAAACUCAAAGAAAUUGACGGGGACCCGCACAAGCGGUGGAUGAUGUGGAUUAAUUCGAUGCAACGCGAAAAGCCUUACCCUACCCAUGACAUCUGGAAUCCCGAAGAAGGUUGGGUAUGCGCAAAGAGAACCGGAACACAGGUGCUGCAUGGCUGUCGUCAGCUCGUCAAUGUUGAGAUGAUGGGUUAAGUCCCGCAACGAGCGCAACCCUUGUCAUUAGUUGCUACAGAAAGGAGCCUCUAAUGAGACUGCCGGUGACAAACCGGAGGAAGGUGGGGAUGACGUCAAGUCCUCAUGGCCCUUAUGGGUAAGACUUCGCACGUCAUACAAUGGUCGGGACAGAGGGUCGCCAACCCGCGAGAGGCCAAUCCCAGAAGCGCGAUCGUAGUCGGAUCGCAGUCUGCAACUCGACUGCGUGAAGUCCGGAAUCGCUAGUAAUCGCGGAUCAGCAUGUCACCCGGUGAAUACGUUCCGGGUCUUCUUUCCCCGCCCAUCACACCAUAGGAGUGGGUUUUACCAAGUAGUUGGCCUAACCAUCAAGGAGGCGAUUACCACAGUAGGUUUCAUGACUGGGUGAAGUCGUGCUUCGAGGCCAA